rnacentral:rRNA from 1 species
CAAUAGCGUAUAUUAAAGUUGUUGCAGUUAAAAAGCUCGUUGUUGGAUUUCUGGUGGGAGCGAUCGGUCUGGCGCUUAGCGCGAGUACUUGCAUCGUCUCCGGCCAUCCUUGGGGAGAGUCUGUCUGGCAUUAGGUUGUCGGGCAGAGGAUCCUCAUCGUUUACUGUGAAAAAAUUAGAGUGUUCAAAGCAGGCUUAUGCCGUUGAAUAUAUUAGCAUGGAAUAAUAAGAUAGGACUUUGGUACUAUUUUGUUGGUUUGCGCACCAAAGUAAUGAUUAAUAGGGACAGUUGGGGGUAUUCGUAUUCCGUUGUCAGAGGUGAAAUUCUUGGAUUUACGGAAGACGAACUACUGCGAAAGCAUUUACCAAGGAUGUUUUCAUUAA